CUGGGGUUCCGGGCAGUCGUGGACGGCCGCCGACGCGGUGAAGCUGUGGGUGGACGAGAAGCAGAACUACCAUCUUGACAGCAACACCUGCGACGCCGGCAAGGUGUGCGGGCACUACACGCAGGUGGUGUGGCGCAAGUCGACCCGCAUCGGCUGCGCGCGCGUGGUCUGCACGGGGAACCGGGGCGUCUUCAUCACCUGCAACUACAAUCCCCCGGGCAACUUCAACGGCGAGCGCCCGUUCGCGUUCCUCACCCUUGACGCCGAAGCCUAGUACGUGCGAGUGAGUGUGAUCAUACAUGCAUACGUACGUGCGUGUGUUUAUGUUUGUGUGGUUUGAAUAUUUAUACGUCUACAAAUGUUACGUACGUACGUAAAUAAGCACACAUUCCGGCCUGCAUGUAUCCAUGCGGCUCUGUGGAGCGUGUAAAUGUAUGCAAACAUCUUUACUUUUGUUUUGUUGUUCAAAACUUGGACCUAGCCAAACAAAUUGUGAACCCUUGAAAAAAAUGAUACCCCCUUCGUCCUAUAAUGUA
rnacentral:lncRNA from 1 species